UUUUAAAAAUAAAAGGUAGUAGAAAUAUAUAAAUGAAACCUUUAUAAAUUUGACGGUAUUUAUUAAUUAGAGGAAUCUGUUUUUUAAUCGAUAAUCCACGUUAAUUUUUACUAAUAUUAAAAUUUUAUAUACCUCCAUUUAGAAUAAAUUUUAAUAUUAAAUUCUUAAUAAUUUCUAAAAUUUUAGGUAAAGGUGUAAACAAAAUAUUAGAUAAAAUGGAUUACAUUAAAUAAAAUUUAUGGAUUAUAUUAAAUUAAAUUUUUAUUUAAAAAAGGAUUUAAUAGUAAUAUUAAAUUAAUAAUAUUAUAAUAUGAAUAUAUUAUUAAAUAUGU
rnacentral:rRNA from 1 species